rnacentral:rRNA from 1 species
AAAGUAUACUUAAAUAUUCUGGUACUGCUGAGAAAUUCUAGGCCCGUUUCCGCUGCAGACUAUAAGACGUGUACUUGACUGCGUACGGCCUUGUACGGAACGUUAUUGUGAGUAAAUUGUAGCCUUCAGGGCAGUAUAUUGGUUGAAUAAUUCAUUAUGUGAUAGUACACGUGAUUUCGGCUUACCUUUUUAGUCUGAAGGUCUGGGUUGAAGGUUAAGAGGAACAGUCAAGUGUAUUCGUAUUCUGUAGUAAGAGGUGAAAUUCCUGGAUCUUCGAGGGGCGAACAACUGCGAAAGCAUUUACAAAGUUGUUUUCAUUAAUCAAGGACAAAAGUUGGGGGUUCGAAGACGAUUAGAUACCAUCAUAGUCCUAACCAUAAACAGUUCCGACUAAGCGCGCGCGCGCGCGAAAUCAGAGUUUUUGGGUUCGUGGGGAAGUAUGGUCACAAGGCUGAAACUUAAAGGAAUUGACAGAAGGGCACCACAAGGCGUGGAUCUUGCAGCUUAAUUUGACUCAACGCGAGAAAACUUACCAGGUCCAGAUUCGGUGAGGAUUGGCAGUAUGAAAGCUCUUUCUUGAUUCUAUAGUUGAGUGGUGCAUGGCCGUUCUUAGUGGAUGGGUUGCCUUGUCGGGUCGAUUCAAGUAACGACCGAUAUCUUCACCUGCUAACUAGUCAAGAUGCUAUGGUCGGUAAUCAACACUUCUUAGAGAGACUGCCACCCAGAAGGUGUCGGAAGUGGGAGCCAAUAACAGGUCUGUGAUGCCCUUAGAUGUGCUGGGAUGCACGCGAGCUACACU